AUCCUCUGAUUGAUGUUGUUUACUGAUGUGGAGGAAGAUGCUCAUCAGCUUGAUUUAAUCAUGAAUUCUGAGGGGACUUAGCGUCAUUUUAAAGUGGAUGCUGUAGAGAGAGGUGUGUCACAGUCCACUGGUGUCUAAUCUGCUGCCAUCAUCCUUCAGGAGCUCCUCACAAUUGUCUAGCAGCCACGGACCAGGCUUUGCUAAGCUGAACCGGAGAGAUGGUGCUGGAGGUUGGUCUCCUCUGAGUUCAGACAGGUAUCAGUCAUUGGAGGUUGACCUGGGAGGGCGAACACAAAUCACUGCUGUUGCCACACAAGGCCGGUAUGGCAGCUCUGAUUGGUUGACGGCCUACCUGUUGAUGUUCAGUGACACA